AGUUGGUCAAACUGUUCACAAAGAACAUCAGCAAAUACUGCAUGUGGCAAAAACUUUGGACUGCACUUGAGAUAGCUGGGAACUUAUACAAUGUUCAGGACAGGCUGACAGUCAAUUAUCAGCAUCUUUUUCUCCACAGAAUUCAUUUUGUAUAUACAUCCUCAAUUCCAAUUCUGGACUUGAAAAGAAGACCAUUUUUCCAGACAGUGAUUUCCACCAAUAUCUCGUCUCCUGGCGUCUGUGUGUGUUUUUAACAGGCAGACCCAUGGGGCUACAGUCUUGCAAGCCUUGCAACUCGUGCCUACAAAGUAAGGAGGAAUGCAGACCAGCUGGUGGCUGCUUGUGUGUGUGUGACGACUGGAGAUAUUGCUCUGACCGCUGCUGUGACAUCUGCUGCCAGAUGUGUGUGGACGUGUGCUCUGGCUUGUGUUCAGGAGACUGCAGCUACACCUUCUGUACUCUCUGCCUCAGCCUGGCACAGAACUGUGUCUCACUUUUUACCACCCGGCAAACUGAAACAUCAGAGGCACAAUAUUGAUCGACAAGAAUGUACUGAAGAGAUUCUGACUGCUUCCUUCCACAACGACUGUGGAGCCAAGAGCAAUGGCCCUUACAAUAAGCUCAAGCUUAUCGCUGCUAUCAUGGAUGAACAAAAGCUCUCUGAACAAAACAAGCAUUCCUUCUUCUGGGUAACACCCAUGUGAUGGCAGAGACUGUACCCUACUUAACACUCAUGUCACCACCUUUCCAGCCCCAUGCUGCACCUCGUUUCAUGUGGAUGGAUGUAUUUCUUGUGUCUGGAUGUUUUGGUUAGAAAAAAGGACAACUACUUUAUCCAUAUUUUUCAGUACAGGACUCCUAAAGAGACAAACAGGAUUCCCUAACAUCAGCAAAGCCAAAGUGUUGCAUUUUUCACAUCUGGAAGAUUAAACUGAAGUGUGGAAAUGGCCUCAUCCUGGCACACACGCAGUACUUCAAAGCACUCGUUAGAUGUCUGCAAGAUUGUUUUGCACUUUGAGGCAAACAAAAAUAUAAUUUAGUUGCACACAGUGUACAAUCUGAUAUCUUUUUGUGAGAUAAGGGCGCCUGAGGACACAAGGUGCUAUUUGCUUCCACUGAUUUAGACCUUUUUAUUAUCCUCCAUGAAAUUGCUAGUUUACGGAAAUUUGAAUGAUUGAGUGAGCCAUGUCCCAGCAUCGAAAGAAACUUUAGAAUGAGGUCUUACGAGGAAAAUCUAACAACACGGAGAGUGUGAUGGGCUUGGUUGUGUCCCCAACUGUAACCAUCUCUGCUCCUGUUUUCUGCUCCUCCCAGUCCCUCUGGACUCUGCAGUGCAUUCAGUUCAACUCAAAUUCGUAUCCCUCUCAAACUCAGAGGAUAUGCCGAGUGGCCUAGUUUACUCCUUGAACUGACCUUAUCCUCCUGAAAAGUUUGUGUGUUUAUAUUUAUAAUACCUGCAGUAAAUCCUGGGAGUCCAAAACUAUUUGCAUAUACUUCACUCACCUUGACUGAGCAAUUGUCUCUGACUGUGGUUUCAUUGUAUAUAUUUUUUGGCUUAUUUACUUGAAAUACCUAGAAAGUAGAGGAUUGAAAUUGUGCAGCAUUUGUUUUAAUAUCAGGUCCAGGAGCUCUGAUGGGAACUAAAAUUGUUAAAUAUUGUUCACAAAUGUUGCAUUGAGAUCAAUAAAGAUUGGGUACUUAAUUGC